rnacentral:lncRNA from 1 species
GAGAGGUUUUCAUUCAGAAGAGCUUUCCUGCAUGUUAGGUUGACUCCAGUGUGUGAAGAGACAGAGGACCUUGCAGGUGCUAUGCUUGUAUCCAGCAUGAGCAUCUUCCACACAGAACAUAUUCAGCUUCCUUCCUCCUGAUUCACAAGGUUUUGUUAUAAGAAAGACUAAAUAAUGUAGACCAUAAAGUAAUUCUGUUUUAUUUUUGCAGGUUGAAGAGACACUAUGCCUUUUUGUUGUAAAAACCACUGAAAAACACCUGCUUUUAACUAUGUGACAUAAGCCUGCUUUCCAAUAAAUGCUUUAUUUCCAGCAGCAACAGGAAGAACAGAAUCUCCUUUACUAGACUGUUAACUACAGAUCAGAAAAUGAGGCAGAAGACCACAUCCUAAUUCCUGACAGCCCACAGGUCAGCAACAGUGUGCCAGUGAACACACAGUGCCACUGAGCCGCCCUGUGAGCUGUGGAGUGACCAGAAAAUUUAAUGCAUGUUGCCACCCAGAAGCACUGUGCAAAGACAGUUCUGGUAAUGCAGUGAGUUGCUUCCUCAGGUAGACCCAGGUGUUUCCUCCCCAUCUUCAGCCAAAUCCAGAUCUUUGAUUAAUGCACAGCUCCCAGAAGACAUCAAGGAAUGGCAAUAACCAUGUUUUUCUUCUAGUUUUUUGGUAAUUUUUUGCAUUAUUUGUUACUUUAAUAAUUCUUUUGGUUUUGGG